rnacentral:lncRNA from 1 species
UUUUGUUGAUCUAUGAUCUGUACCUCAUUAUACAUGGAAUUUCGGGAUUUUUGUUGGAAUGUCCUUUUUUGAUGAAAAAUCUUGCUUGGAUUUGUUAGAAAUAGUGGUGUUAUACAUUCUAAUAUUAUUAGAAAAUUUUUCACUAUUUUUACAGAUUUUUAUUGAAAUUUUGGUCAUGCAAGGUUAUUUUUUGUAUAGGAAAAAUGGCAUUUUCGCUCGUGUUGCUACUUUUGGUGCUGAUGGCCACUCGUCGUGGUCGUGGUGGUGGUCGAGGCUAUCACGCCCCGGGACUGAUACCAAUUUGGCCGGCCCGAACACGUCAAACAGACGCCGAACGGACAGAGUUUUUUCUGUCCGCCCAAGGCUCAUCACCUGUACAUUUUCAAACAAGAAGUGCACUAGCGGAAACAUACACAAACGGCUUACACGAGGGUAAGCAACAGCCAUGAGUGAAAGUAAGGAAAAUAAACAUCUACACAAGUACUAUGAUUCACUUUUGAUCACAUACAUGUAUCCAUUUCAUCCAACUUGUACAUUCAUAAAGUCUUUACAUUUCAUUACAUCACUUGCAUCAUUUCCUUUUACAUCACAUUGCCUCAAAAUAAAACUUUACAUUCUUUUCUUUCUUUGCUUUAUACAUAAACAUCUUAAAUCAUCAAUACAAAAGAUGAUAAAAGGGUAUACAACUAACAAAAUGUAAAGCCCGACUCGGGUGGCCACUGUCUAGGGUGCGAUACCUUUACCGCGGUCGCUCGCCGGCUCGCUCGGUUCCGGCUCUGUGGAAUAGUGGGGUGAGAACUACAACAAAGUUUCCAGUAGGUUCGGCUCCAAUCUCACCGAUUUUUCCACUAGGACUAACUCAGGCAUAAUAGAAAGGAUAAGCAUAAUAGUAACCAAACUAUAAUCAUGAUGCUAAUAUGCCUGAACAAUAAAGCAAGAAGUAUGCUCAACGUAAAUCAUGCAAGUAUGUAAGUUCUUUGUUCUUUACUCUUUAUUCUUUAAUCUUUGUUCUUUGUUCUUUAAUCUCACGACUAACCCGGGAGUUUCGCCACAUUAACUUGCCCACAUUAAGUCCAUCAUCGCGGGCCCUCAGCUGCCUCCCGCUAAGACCGUCCUCGGGUUUACUCCAACCCGUGAUGCAAAACUCCGGAGCGCAUCGCUCGAGGGGGAGCGACCGCCCUCAAGCACGGAACUCAUAGCAAGUAUGAUCGAUCCUUAACUCUAAGGAUAUAUGGUUCAAUCAUUGUCUUUACACUAAUUCUAGUGUUCUUUAUAUCACUUUAUUUUGCUAACUCUAGCAAUCAUUGUUCUUUAACUUUACUCGUUCUUUAUGCCACUUUCAUUUUCUUUUCUUGUCUCUAAUCAUUAUCAUUGUUCUUUGCGUCGCAUUUCUCUUUGAUGCCACACACACUAACUCUAGUGUCACUUUACUUUAUAUUAUCGAAUGCCACUCGAUCUAUGUUUUAUUGUGUCACUUGUUCUUUCAUCUCAUUUGGGUGCUCACAUUACAUCUCAUGCAUACAUAUAGGGUUGAAUAGGUUCUCUAACAUUUCAAAUAGCACGUGUACUCACAUCAUGCAACAUUCACAUAUAUAACAUCUCAUCUACCCUAUAAUGCAUGCAACAAUAUAAACAUAUGCUCAAUUGAAUGACACAUUAGGCAUAGAAGGAAUUCCAAUAAGUUUGGAUAGCACCACCCACCUCGUAGGCGUACUAGGAUGCUACAAUGAUUUUCUUGGAAUUUUUAGACUCCUAGUUCGUCACCUGCGGCAAAACGAAGCCCUAUUAGGCCAUUUUAUUCAUAUCUUUAUAUUGGCUUUUUGCAACGUCAAUCCGAGCGCACCAACUCAUCGGAAAUACCCCCAAUUAGGUUUCUAGAGGGUCAAUUUCAUUUUAGAACCCUUACAAGCAAAAGCCCCAAUUUGGGUGUCCUAGCUCAUAACAUAUAUCAAACCUAGGGUUUGAUCUCAUUAGGAAGCAAAAGAAGCUUCAAUCUACUCUAGAGACUCCAUAAAAACCAUCCUUAGCUCAAUCAAAACCCAUUUUGGGGUUUCACCAUGAGAGGGGUUGAAGCUUACCUUCAAGCUUCACCAUCUCCAUCCAAUCCAUUGUUUGAUCUCUAAAAGAAGCAAAAGAUAGCUCCAAAUAUUCUAAAGGUUCUAUAAAAACCAUUCUUAGCUUAAUCCAAACCCUAGUUUGGAUUCUACCAUGAAUAGCGUUCAAGCUUACCUCUAAGCUUGCUCCUAUGUUGCUCCAAAGAGGAAGAAGAGGAGGUAGCUUCAUUCCUUGGUUCAUUCCUUGGCUUCUUCUUCACCUUCUUCUUCUUCUUCUUCUUCUUCUUCUUCUUCUUCUUCUUCUUCUUCCUUCUUUUUCUUGUCUUCUUCUUCUCCUUCUUGUCUUCUAGAGAGAGAAAGAGAGGUGAGAGGGUGUGAGAGGGAGAGAAUGAGAGAAAUAUCUCGUAUCCCCUCUCAUUUCACUCUAUGGGUUGCAUAAUUGCAAUUAGGUCCCUCAGCUUUUAUUUUAUUAAACUGCUUGAACUGGGCAGUUUUCGGGUUCGAGGACCGGUCCCAGAAGGCUCUCCCGCAGCACAGCGGGGGCUUUCGCACGAGGCAACCGGUCUCUCCCAGGGAGACCGGUCUCUCGGGGACCGGUCUCUCCCCGCAGGGACCGGUUCCCGAGAGCUGGUUUUCUGGGACUUAGCCAAUUUUUCAGCCUUCUCAAUUUUCACGCGUUCGGGGACCGGUCUCUCCCACCAGGGACCGGUCCCCGAGAGCACAAAAACUGCAUUUUGCAUAUUUUUGAUUAUUUCGCUCUCGAAAACCUCCCACAAUGCACUUUUGAUCAUUUUAACACCUUCGGACUUUCCGAAGCGUACCAUCCUCGCACUCUGGUCAAUUUGACUAAAGUUCGAUAUUUAUUUUUCGAAUUUUUGGUAUAUUAUAUUCUCCACCCUUUAAAAUAAUUUCGUCCGCGAAAUUACGCAUAUCUUAACUCGUCGACUCAAACAAAUGCGGAUACUCUCUCCGCAUGGUCUCCUCGAGCUCCCAAGUGGCUUCUCGCACCGCAUGGUUGCUCCACUGAACCUUCACAUAUGGAAUUCUGCGACUCCGCAGCUUUAUUUCUUCUCGAUCGAGGAUGCACACCGUGUACUCCUCAUAAGACAUAUCCUCACGUAACUCCACGGGCUCGUACUCUAACACAUGUGUCGAGUUGCGAAUAUACUUUCGGAGAUUUGACACAUGGAAAAUAUUGUGAACUCCCGCGAGUCUCGGUGGUAGUGCGAGCUUGUACGCUACCGCACCCACACACUCCAAUAUCUCAAAUGGUCCGACAUAACGGGGGCUUAGCUUCUCACGGACCCCAAAUCGCUUUACUCCACGCAUCGGCGACACUCUAAAAAAUACACGGUCUCCAACCGCGAACUCUAAGUCCUUCCUCCGCAUGUCGGCAUAGCUCUUUUGUCGAGAUUGCGCCGUCACUAACCGUUGACAGGCAAAACGAACCUUUCUUCCGCCUCCCGUACCACAUCCGGACCAAGAGCCAUUCUCUCGCCCACGUCGCUCCAAUGGAUAGGAGAACGACACUUUUGACCAUAUAGUGCCUCAAAUACAUCCGGGUGGCAGUCCCGGUAACUCCACUGCGGGUAUUCGCACACUACUCGAAUAUCCCCCAACUCUGGGUAUUCCUUUCGAGCAUCUACCAUGGUUGCCAAAUAGGCCUUACACCCUCCUUUGAUUAUCUUCUUCGCCCUUACAGACAAUAUGGUCGCCGUGAAGCACCUACUUUUGCACGCUUGGUACACCAAUUCUUCUUGAUUAGGCUCACGAAAAGUGAUCACCUUACUUUCACAAUCUAUAACCGCAUAGUACUUGGAGAGCCAGUUGGUCCCCAAGAUAACAUCGAAUCCCUACAUCUAAUCUAGCACUAGCAGAUCAAUCGGCAUAAUCCAAUCGCCUAUUUGCACUGGACACGCCAAACACUCAUUAUGGACACUGAAUGAAUGUUCUGAGACGUUCACUCACCAAUAGUGCUCGUUUUAUGCCAUUUCUAUGCCAUGAGUUUGAGCAAAUGAUGCGCUAAUGAAUGAAUGAGAUGCGUCUGUAUCAAAUACUGCUCUAGCUCUAGUGCCUUUAAUCAACAAUUAUACCUGCCACGACGUCGUCGGGUGCUGCAGGUUGUUGCUCCUCUACCUGAGCGGCNACAUAUAGUUUAGUUGGUUUAUGUGGUUCAGUAAUUAUUUACAUUCGAAAAUGUGGAUUUCUGGAUUUGUAAAAUAAAAGGUUUUCUACCCCUCGUGGUAGCGUUUUUAAAAGAAUAAAGGUUUCUGUGUAGGAAACAGCUUUCAAAAAAUUUUUGUGGAUUUCUGUUUAUACUUUGAAUGUAAAACUGUGAUGUGAAUGGUGAAUGUAUGAAUGUAUAGUUAUCUUUAUAUUCAUCUGGUUGUGGUUGUAUCCUGAUUGUACUGUGUAUUUGAUCGACACCGUGCAAAUACAGGGGAGACUCUGUCCGUGUGAACAGUGGAUUUCCUGUAUUUGUGGCGGAUCUGGCAUACUCUGGGGUCAGAUUUUCAAAAAAAAAAAUU